GGGUCAUAUUCAGAGGUCGCAGCUUCUUUGGAGCUCCCAUCUUCCGACAUUUGGUCGGCUGUCGGGCAUUCCGCAAUGAAGUCGGCCAAGACUUGGGCUUUCAAAGUAGGUCGCAGUUAGUACUGGAUGUCGAACUCGCUCAGCUUCACCGCCCAUUUCACCAGUCAUCCUGAUGUGUCGAGGUGAUGGAGGAUCGCUCUCAGGGGCUGGUCGAUGAGGACCAUGAUGGCGUGUGCUUG
rnacentral:lncRNA from 1 species